rnacentral:rRNA from 1 species
AGCAGCCGCGGUAAUUCCAGCUCCAAUAGCGUAUAUUAAAGUUGUUGCAGUUAAAAAGCUCGUAGUUGAAUUUCGGGAUCAAUAUAUUGGUCGUGCCUCUGGUAUGAACUGGUAUUAUUGAUUUCUACCUUCUGACGAACUGUGAUGUCAUUAAUUUGGUGUCAUGGGGAAUCAGGACUGUUACUUUGAAAAAUUGAGUGUUUAAAGCAGGCACACGCUUGAAUACAUUAGCAUGGAAUAAUGAAAUAGGACGUUUGACCCUAUUUGUUGGUUUCUAGGAUCGACGUAAUGAUUAAUAGGGAUAGCUGGGGCAUUAGUAUUCAAUUGUCAGAGGUGAAAUUCUUGGAUUUA